AUUGCCUUCUUUUCAAUUUACUGUCACUGUUUCCAGAGUAGUUCAAUUCGUCAAUCCACAAUUACAUGUAGAGACCACCAAACCCAGUUUCUAAUUCACUAUCUGACACAACCUUUCUCACUCGAGAGGUAAGGGUUCUCUUAGAAGGUGAAAGUUUGGGUUUGGUGGCCACUACUUCAAACUGUUAUUCUUCCUCACUGCCUGAUACAGGAACUUGGGUUGUCAGACUAUUAUCUGGAUUGAUUAUUUGAUUUCCUUUUUUUCUUUUUAUCAAGUCAAUUAGUUUCUGCAAGUUCAGAACGAGUUGUCUAGUCACUUUUUUCUAUUUUCCUUAGCUUAAACUUUCACAUGUUCAAACUAUUCUUCCCCUCAGUCAUUUAUAUGGAAAUGUACAGGUGGAGAUGCUGAAGUACGUGGAGGAUGAGAUUAGUGAGACUAUUCCAUACACUGGUGAGUAUCUUGUUCAAGGAAGCGAUAGAGUUUGGAUUGGGGUGUCACGUGCACGAGGCGUGAAAUGUGAAAGAUGUUGGAAUUACACACCACAAGUUGGUUCUUUUGCGGAGCAUCAAACACUUUGUGGUCGCUGUUAUAAAGUAGCGGCUGUUCAACCAGAACCUGCUGCGGCAACAGUCAGCUGAGACUACAAAUUAAGAGAAGCUUGACUGCAUAAAUCCAGUCGCAGUGAAUCUAGAACAUCUGACCUGUAUAAUCUUUCAGUGCAGUUGAGCUGGCUAAUGCUCUUCAAAAUUUUGAUAAUCAAGUUCAGAAAUCACAGUUUUGACAGAUCAAGUUGGAAAGUCAAUUGCAGAUUUUGUUGCACAAUCAACAAAUAAUGAUGUGUGCAGUAUCAUACUGGACGGAAAGGACAAGGAAAGCUUGUGGUGUUCAUCAAAUUCCAUUUACUUUUAUCCUCGCUAGCUAUAUUUAUUGAGCACUUUGAAAUUGGGAAUUUAUCUUGAACAUCAUACCUUAGCAGAUUAUUUUUAUAAUUUGCCA